rnacentral:rRNA from 1 species
UACGUAGGGACCGAGCGUUGUCCGGAAUCAUUGGGCGUAAAGAGCGUGUAGGCGGCUCGCUAAGUCUUGCGUGAAAUCUCGGGGCUCAACCCCGAGCGGUCGUGAGAAACUGGCGGGCUAGAGUGCGGGAGAGGAGAGUGGAAUUCCUGGUGUAGCGGUGAAAUGCGCAGAUAUCAGGAGGAACACCGAUUGCGAAGGCAGCUCGCUGGAACGUUACUGACGCUGAGACGCGAAAGCGUGGGGAGCAAACAGG